GGAGCAGUAGAAGCACGGAAGCUUACCCGCCCUUUACCUUGGCCCUAGGCCACUUGACACGCGGGACGGCGGAUUCGAUCGCGUAAGCAUGGGAUGAAGUUGUUGUGUCGGUUCGACUCCGGCCUGCUCUA
rnacentral:tRNA from 1 species